AAACAGUCCCCUAUGUAUUGGAUCUUUGACAGUUUUGGCCUCCAAGGCCACUUUUGACUAAGUCUUCGCUGACGUGGCAUCCACAAUGGUCGACGUGUGGCACCUCACUUAAGGGAUAUGGGUGCCACCUCAGCGAAGACUAAGUCAAAAGUGACUUUGGGGGAAAAAACUGCCAAAUUAAAGAUCCAAUACAUAUGUGACUGUUU
rfam:Medicago truncatula strain A17 chromosome 4, whole genome shotgun sequence.